rnacentral:lncRNA from 1 species
AAGAGCUUGUUCGAGAAUUUCUAUAAGCCCUUUUUCUCCAUUUUUGAAAGACUUAUUUGACUUCGGUUUCAGUGAGGGAUUCUUUAGUGUACUUUCUAGAUAAAUUAUAUUGGGAUAUUACUUGACUUGAUGCAUGAAUUGUUAUAUUUGUUUAUGCUUAGUUUAUUUGAAUAUGAAAUGUAAGUUGAUAUGCAUGAGGGUUACAAAAAUAUGAUUCUAAAAUGCAUGUGGGAUUGGCCAUUUCCCUUACCCUUGGUAAUGCUGAAGUGGGUUAUUCUAGGAGCCCUAACUCUAAGGAAUAU